AGAAUCAACGCUGGCGGCGUGCCUAACACAUGCAAGUCGAACGAGAAAGUGGAGCAAUCCAUGAGUAAAGUGGCGCACGGGUGAGUAACACGUGACUAACCUACCCUUGAGUGGGGGAUAACCUAGAGAAAUCUGGGCUAAUACCGCAUAAUACCUUCGGGUCAAAGGAGCAAUUCGCUUAAGGAGGGGGUCGCGGCCGAUUAGUUAGUUGGCGGGGUGAUGGCCCACCAAGACUAUGAUCGGUAUCCGGCCUGAGAGGGCGCACGGACACACUGGAACUGAAACACGGUCCAGACUCCUACGGGAGGCAGCAGUGGGAAUUUUGCGCAAUGGGGGAAACCCUGACGCAGCAACGCCGCGUGGAGGAUGAAGUCCCUUGGGACGUAAACUCCUUUCGAUCGGGACGAUUAUGACGGUACCGGAAGAAGAAGCCCCGGCUAACUUCGUGCCAGCAGCCGC
rnacentral:rRNA from 1 species